GACGAAGGAUGCAAGCGUUAUCCGGAUUCAUUGGGUUUAAAGGGAGCGUAGGCGGACUUAUAAGUCAGUGGUGAAAUCUCCGAGCUUAACUCGGAAACUGCCAUUGAUACUGUAGGUCUAGAGUACAGUUGCCGUUGGCGGAAUAUGACAUGUAGUGGUGAAAUACUUAGAUAUGUCAUAGAACACCGAUUGCGAAGGCAGCUAACGAAGCUGUAACUGACGCUGAGGCUCGAAAGUGCGGGGAUCAAACAGG
rnacentral:rRNA from 2 species